rnacentral:rRNA from 1 species
GACGAACGUUGGCGGCGUGCUUAAUACAUGCAAGUCAACUGAAGCAGUGGUAGCAAUAUCGCUGUGGAGGUGGCACACGGGUGAGUAACACGUAGGUAAUCUGCCUUCAGGUCUGGCAUAACUCCGGGAAACCGGGGCUAAUAGCAGAUGAUGCAGCGGCUCGACAUCGAGACAGUUGUUAAAGCUAUGGCGCCUGAAGAUGAGCCUGCGUCUGAUUAGCUAGUUGGCGGGGUAACGGCCCACCAAGGCAACGAUCAGUAGCUGGUCUGAGAGGAUGAUCAGCCACACUGGAACUGAGACACGGUCCAGACUCCUACGGGAGGCAGCAGUAAGGAAUAUUGCUCAAUGGGAGAAAUCCUGAAGCAGCAACGCCGCGUGAGGGACGAAGGGCUUUUGCUUGUAAACCUCUGUAGUGAGAGAAAAAAAUCCCAAUCUUUGGGACAUGAUGGUAUCUCAAAAGUAAGCCCCGGCUAACUACGUG